rnacentral:sRNA from 1 species
UUGUGGUGCCAAGCAAUUGAAUUUGUUAUUAUUUGGUUCCGAUAUUCAUACUCUCUGCA